AGCAGCUUCUGAGUAUUUGGAGCUCCCUGUUCCCUUUUUCUUCCAGAACUGCAGCCGGGAUGUCUGCCCUGGGUGGACCGGCAUAAACGUGGAUGUGAUGGUACUUUCUAAUGUCCUGUGUGACGUAGGGAGAAAAGCAAUGGCUUGGAAUUUGGGAGACAAGGAUUUAAUCCCAGGGUUCAAGCUAAACUGAGCUCAAGCCAUUUACUUUUCAGGACCUGGUAUUCAUUUACGUAUUUGUUUAUUUCAGCUAUAAAAGGAGAGCCUUACAAACACUGUUUUCCUAUUAAUGUUAGACCACAGACAAGUAAAAUAUCACAUUUUCUUUUGAGAUCUUGGAUCAGGAAUCUUCGUGUCAGAUGCAUGAGGAGAGGUCAGAAGGAGAGGUGUACAUGGGCUGAACUGUUGCCAAAGAGGAAGAAGUGGGAGAGGUGCGCGUGAUGCAGUCAGUGUUUGACUCAACUGUUCUCAAGCCCAAAGUUGGGAAAGAAUGGCUGAACUACUGAAAGACUUAGCUUCAUCAAAUUUUUUCUUUUUUUAAUAGUGUCAGUAAAACUAAAAUUCAGUUGGGAAAGCCCGAGACUCUAGCCAACAAGGAAGAACUUAAUGAGCCCUGGUAAUUAUCCAGAUCAUAAAGUUGAAACAGGAAGCAGAGCCAGCGCCAUCUGGCAUGUGAUCUGGACCUCUUGUCACGGCACUAGUGUGGAGAUGCUUCUAGCUGGCACUUGCACAAGGGUGUCAUGCAGCCCUGGGUGUGCGUGUGGCUGAUCUCCCCUUUCCCACAUCACACUGGGCACGGCAGCAACACACCAGGCUCCUCUCGCCUGCACACUGGAAGGCCCAGCUCCUGGGAACGAGGGCGACAGGAUUGCCAGCCGCCCAGAUACCGUGAAGGCCAUCUUGGAUUUUCAUUGUGAUUCCUUUGUGAGAAGAAAUCGGAGCAACCACAUAAAUGCUGCCCAGAGACAUCUGUCAUCUUCCGACUUAAAAGAGACAAACCACAGCUACAUGACUGUUGAUCGCCGGUCUGUGUUUAUUCAGCUUCUCAGAGCUCACGUAACCCAACACCUGAGAGCUCACAUAACUAAACAUUUAUGAAAGUGCCAUGUGUUCAGCUGCCCUGUUUUCCUGGAGACCUGCCUUGACUUGGGGAGCAAGGCUGAAGCAAUGGUGCCGAGUCUCCUGCUGUGGGAAGGGAAGGAACUGGCCCAGCCGUCCACGGAUAUGCUGAGGAGCUGACAUAGCCCUGGGCUUUUCACUGAUACCUCCUAUCUCACUUCACUUGACAUUCAAUAAUUUUGAUCUCCCUUUGUGUGGAGCACACUUUGAGAUGGAAUGCUCAAAGACCAAGUUCGGAAAACAGACAGGAACUGAAAGUGCUCUGGGAAGAGAGGCCACAGAAACUGGC